rnacentral:rRNA from 1 species
UAAGUAUGAUAUAUAAGGUAGUAUCCUGAGUAGCGCGGGACACGAGAAAUCCUGUGUGAAUCUGCCGGGACCAUCCGGUAAGGCUAAAUACUCCUGAGAGACCGAUAGAGAACCAGUACCGUGAGGGAAAGGUGAAAAGCACCCCGAACAGGGGAGUGAAAUAGUACCUGAAACCGUGCGCCUGCAAGCGGUCGGAGCCAAUUUAUUUGGUGACGGCGUGCCUUUUGCAUAAUGAGCCUACGAGUUAUACCUUACCAGCGAGGUUAAGUAAUGAAUAGUUACGGAGCCGAAGCGAAAGCGAGUCUGAAUAGGGCGCUAUAGUUGGUAGGGAUAGACGCGAAACCUUGUGAUCUACCCAUGGUCAGGUUGAAGUCCCGGUAACACGGGAUGGAGGACCGAACCAGUAAACGUUGAAAAGUUUUUGGAUGAACUGUGGGUAGGGG